UCACAUAACCUUACUCACCUACAUACAUAUGACAAAAUUAACUCUUACUUAAAUGCUCUGGGGGAAAAUUCAUACGUGGGCUACAAUUAAAUGACUGUCCAGGGAGGGGGAUUCCAACCUGGCCGGCAGAUUCAUAGGUAGGCAUGCUAACCACUACACCACGGAGCCAGAAGAAUUAGCCACACUAUACCAGGACAAAUAAUUCUUAAUGUGUGUGUGUGUGUGUGCCCUGGUAAGAUUCAUAUGUGCAGCCCUGGUAGUGGUUCUUAUUAUGUAACAUAGUGAGUCAGUAUAAGGGUAUUGCUGAGUAAGUUUAUGGCCCCAAGUGACUCAGUGUUGGUUUAACCCGUCCGCUGUGACUGGCACGGAUUUGGCCUUCCCUGGUAGCCUGGUAGCAUAUAGUCCCAGGUCUUUCUCUGUCUCUGUGGUGGAUAGUGGAGUGUUUCCCAUGUGGUAUUGGUGUGCUGGAUAUCCCUUCACUGGUAGCCUGGUAACAUACACUCCCAGGUCUUUCUCUGCCUCUGUGGUGGAUAGUGGAGUGUUUCCCAUGUGGUAUUGGUGUGCUGGAUAUCCCUUCACUGGUAGCCUGGUAACAUACAGUCCCAGGUCUUUCUCUGCCUCUGUGAUGGAUAGUGGAGUGUUUCCCAUGUGGUAUUGGUGUGCUGGAUAUCCCUUCACUGGUAGCCUGGUAACAUACACUCCCAGGUCUUUCUCUGCCUCUGUGGUGGAUAGUGGAGUGUUUCCUAUAUGGUAUUGGUGUGCUGGAUAUCCCUUCACUGGUAGCCUGGUAACAUACACUCCCAGGUCUUUCUCUGCCUCUGUGGUGGAUAGUGGAGUGUUUCCCAUGUGGUAUUGGUGUGCUGGAUAUCCCUUCACUGGUAGCCUGGUAACAUACACUCCCAGGUCUUUCUCUGCCUCUGUGGUGGAUAGUGGAGUGUUUCUCAUGUGGUAUUGGUGUGCUGGAUAUCCCUUCACUGGUAGCCUGGUAACAUACACUCCCAGGUCUUUCUCUGCCUCUGUGGUGGAUAGUGGAGUGUUUCCCAUGUGGUAUUGGUGUGCUGGAUAUCCCAUCACUGGUAGCCUGGUAACAUACACUCCCAGGUCUUUCUCUGCCUCUGUGAUGGAUAGUGGAGUGUUUUCCCAUGUGGUAUUGGUGUGCUGGAUAUCCCCUCCCAAGGUGCAGGACUUUACAUUUUUCUUCAUUGAAUUGUAGCAGCCACUUUUUGCUCCAUUUCAGUAGCUUGGUGAUGUCUAACUGUAGGAAAUCCGCAUUCAAGGGGUUAAUUAACCUAGUAGCACAUUUAGCACGUGGUACAGGCCCCGCGGGAACGUAAAAAAUUAGUAACUAAAGUUUUUGCCCUUAGGCACAGAAGGCUGAGACAAAAUAAUUACUCAUUUUCCUAAUUUUUUGUAAUAUUAUUAUAUAUGAUAUUACUAUAUAUAACCCGGUAGCUGCGGGAUCAUGUUUCUUAAUGGUCCCUCUAAGCGAGAAAAAUGAAAAAAAAUCACCCCUUACACAAACCAUUCCAUAAUAUAUAUCAAAGCAUUUGUGAUCAGAUUAUGUAUCAUCUAUCUUGGGGGGUUUAUGUCACGGCACAAAUUUGGCCCGUCGCUGCUUCCGGGAUAAGAAAAUAUAGGAAACUUCACUAGGGCAUAGUAUAAUAAGCCUGGCAUUGUAGUACACCGUAUACGGCAUAUAGUCCAGGGCUUCCCAACUCAACUGGCGGCCCGCGGUCCAGAUCCGGACUUGUGGGUGUUGCAGCUGGACCCAAGGCUCCAGCAGACAUAAACAUGUGUAAAUUGAAUAGCAUGAAGGUCCUGGCGAUGGAUUCUCUUAACCCCUUGACUACGGAUUUCCUACAAGAAGACCUCACCAAGCUACAGGAGUGGAGCAAAAAGUGGCUGCUACAAUUCAGUGAAGAAAAAUGCAGUCCUGCACCUUGAGAGGGGAUAUCCAGCACACCAAUACCAUAUGAGAAACACUCCACUAUCCACCACAGAGGCAGAGAAAGACCUGGGAGUGUAUGUUACCAGGCUACCAGUGAAGGGAUAUCCAGCACACCAAUACCAUAUGGGAAACACUCCACUAUCCACCACAGAGCCAGAGAAAGACCUGGGAGUGUAUGUUACCAGGCUACCAGUGAAGGGAUAUCCAGCACACCAAUACCAUAUAGGAAACACUCCACUAUCCACCACAGAGGCAGAGAAAGACCUGGGAGUAUAAGUUCACCAGGCUACCAGUGAAGGGAUAUCCAGCACACCAAUACCACCAUAUGGGAAACACUCCACUAUCCACCACAGAGGCAGAGAAAGACCUGGGAGUAUAAGUUCACCAGGCUACCAGUGAAGGGAUAUCCAGCACACCAAUACCAUAUGGGAAACACUCCACUAUCCACCACAGAGGCAGAGAAAGACCUGGGAGUAUAUGUUACCAGGCUACCAGUGAAGGGAUAUCCAGCACACCAAUACCACCAUAUGGGAAACACUCCACUAUCCACCACAGAGGCAGAGAAAGACCUGGGAGUAUAAGUUCACCAGGCUACCAGUGAAAGCCAAAUCCGUGCCAAUUGCAGCGGACGGGUUAAAAUGUGUAUUUCCUUGACUGUCUGUAGGGUAAGUUAGGGGUGUGUUAUACAUAAUAUACUUAACCUAUUAAUGCAGAUAAAAGUUUAGUAGUAUAGAUUAUAUUAAAUAUCAAUAACAGAAAAAAGCUUUAAUGGCGGUCGAGGCACAAGUGCACAGCUGAAUCUAAGUGUGA